rnacentral:tRNA from 1 species
GCGGCGGUAGUUCAGCUGGUAGAACGUCUCCUUGCCAUGGAGAAGGUCGCGGGUUCGAUCCCCGUCCGCCGCU